rnacentral:tmRNA from 1 species
GGGGGCGACUGGUUUCGACGGGGAGUCGGGCCGGUACGCUGCAGGCCGGGUUGGUCGCCAUCCCGUUAAAAAGGUGACACACAAAAUAAAUGCCGAUUACGAUUACGCACUCGCUGCCUAAUUAAAUAAGGCAGCCGCCCCCCGGUGCUAGCCACCGGCACCGGGUACGGCGUCAAAGAGGUGGCAAGGUCUUUAUGGUCGCCCCGCCAUAAAGACCUACUUAUUGGGGCUUGGUCCUACCAUGGGUGCCUGUGCCCUAAGGUAGGACGACAAUGAAACACAGGCUAAGCCUGUAGACGCGUACCGGGGAGGCUUCUCGGACGCGGGUUCGAGUCCCGCCGCCUCCACCA